UAAUCCUUCCUCAUCCCGCCAAUAGCGUGCUGUCUGCACUCCCAGCCUUCCGUAUAGUGCCUGCGCGUGCGCACGGAUCUCCCUGCCUGGAACACAGGCUAAGAUGACAGUAUAGAUAAGGCUGGCAACUGGCAGCCCGGAAGUACCCGGGGGCUGAGGGUUGGACGGAGGUACCGGGUGAUGAGAGGAUAUUACCGCACUCCGAGUCGUGGACAUGUCCCAGGAGGGUCUCAUCACAGUAGUGCAGGACCGGCUGUUCCGCAAUCUUCUGAGCCGGGACUGACAGGCAGAGACUAACCAAAUGUCCCAAGGACUUUAGUGAAUGCAGAGGCCAGACAAGGGCAUCCUUGGAUAUCCUGGAAUUGGAGUUACAGUCAGUUGUGAACUACCAUGCAGGUGCUGGAAAUGGAACCCAGGUCUUCUAAAUAUAAGAGCAGACAGUGCUCUUAUUUUAUUAUUUCUAUCAUUUACUAUUUUAAUAAAGAUGAAUCUAUGCUGUGG